AUUGAACGCUGGCGGCAGGCCUAACACAUGCCAGUCGAGCGGAUGAAGGGAGCUUGCUCCUGGAUUCAGCGGCGGACGGGUGAGUAAUGCCUAGGAAUCUGCCUGGUAGUGGGGGAUAACGUCCGGAAACGGGCGCUAAUCCCGCAUACGUCCUGAGGGAGAAAGUGGGGGAUCUUCGGACCUCACGCUAUCAGAUGAGCAUAGGUCGGUUUCGCUAGUUCGAGGGGUAAAGGCCUACCAAGGCGACGAGCCGUAACUGGUCUGAAAGGAUGGUCAGUCACCUUGGCACUGAGACAGGGUCGAGACUCCUACAGGGAGCAGCAGUGGAGAAUCUUGCGCGAUGGGCGAGAGGCUGAUCCAGGCAUGCCGGGUGUGUGAAGAAGGUCUUCGGAUUGUAGAGCACUGUAGGUUGGGAGGAAGGACAGUAAGUUAAUCCCUUGCUGUAUUGACGUUACCAGCAGAAUAAGCACCGGCUAACUUCGUG
rnacentral:rRNA from 1 species